GUGCCAGCAGCCGCGGUAAUACGGAGGGGGCUAGCGUUGUUCGGAAUUACUGGGCGUAAAGCGCACGUAGGCGGAUCAGAAAGUUGAGGGUGAAAUCCCGGGGCUCAACCUCGGAACUGCCUUCAAAACUAUUGGUCUUGAGUUCGAGAGAGGUGAGUGGAAUUCCGAGUGUAGAGGUGAAAUUCGUAGAUAUUCGGAGGAACACCAGUGGCGAAGGCGGCUCACUGGCUCGAUACUGACGCUGAGGUGCGAAAGCGUGGGGAGCAAACAGGAUUAG
rnacentral:rRNA from 1 species